rnacentral:lncRNA from 1 species
UCAGUGAAUCUCUGAGAUAAGUGAAUUGGGAUUUUAGUUGGAUUGUUUAAGAUUCGAGGUUGUUUGUUUGUUGACUUCUCUUUUGCUUUUUCCAAAUUACAUAUUGUUCUGGUGGAUCACUAGUAAAAUUGGAUUGUGUUUUUGGUGGAGUAGUUAGACCUUCUUUCUUGGAUAUAUAGAGAUGGGUUUGAGUGUUUUAUUUAGCAGUACAAUUUAGCGAGAACCCUUCACUUUGUAGAUUCUGUUUUGGGCCAGGGACAGAAAGUUCGAGGAUUUUUUUCCCCUUGCUAAUGGCACUGAGCGAGAAAAAUCCUAUGGUUGUUGCCCAUAUUUUGAUUGGGAUGGUUUUGGUUUUGCUGAGUAGUAGAAUAUCUGUGAGUAAUGCUACUGAGACUGAUUUAGCGUGCUUGAAAUCCAUCAAAGCUUCUCUGGUGGACCCUAAUAACUACUUGAACACUACAUGGAAUUUCGACAACAAUACUGAAGGCUUCAUAUGUAGAUUUAUGGGCAUUGAUUGCUGGCACCCUGACGAGAACAGAGUUCUAAAUAUCCGCCUUUCAGACUUGGGUCUUGAGGGCCAGUUCCCCCCUGGAAUCCAGAAUUGCACAAGCUUGACUGGCUUGAAUCUUUCGCAGAACCAGCUAUCUGGCUCAAUCCCUGCUAAUAUAGCAAAGUUUAUCCCCUAUAUUACAAACCUUGAUCUUUCAUUCAACAAUUUUUCGGGUGGAAUUCCACAAAAUCUUGCAAAUUGUAGUUUCUUGAAUGAUCUCAAACUUGACAACAACCGGCUAACAAGCAAGAUUCCGCCGGAAUUUGGCCUGCUUGAUCGGAUCAAGGUAUUUACGGUUACCAACAAUCUUCUAUCAGGGCCGAUCCCCUCAUUUAUCCAUAAUAACAUCCCAGCUGAUAGCUUUGCAAAUAAUCUGGACCUCUGUGGGAAGCCAUUGAAUUCCUCCUGUCCAGGUGUCGCAAGGAAAUCCCAUGUUGGAGUAUUUGCUGCAUCAGCCGCUGGCGGGAUAACAUUUACAUCAAUUAUUGUUGGUGUCUUUCUGUUCUUGUCUCGCGGAGCGGCUAAGAAGAAGGCGGAGGAUCCUGAAGGCAACAGAUGGGCAAAGAGCAUCAAGGGAACCAAAGGCAUCAAGGCAAGCUAUCUAGCUCAUCAUGUUCAAUGGAUAUACUGUGUUUUUUUCUGGCAUAGGAAUUGAAUUUCUGUUCUUUUUUCUGGUCAUGCUAACUCAUCGAUGAUUUCAUUUUUUAUUUGACGCAACAAAAUAUCUAACAGCAAAGAUUCUGUUAUCAACAGGUUUCCAUGUUUGAGAAAUCGGUUUCAAAAAUGAGAUUGAGUGAUCUCAUGAAGGCAACCAACGACUUCAGUAAUAACAACAUCAUUGGAGCAGGAAGAACAGGACCGAUGUACAAGGCAGUGAUUUCUGAUGGUUGUUUCCUUAUGCUUAAGAGAUUGCAAGGCUCUCAGCGUUUAGAGAAAGAGUUUGUAUCAGAGAUGAAGACACUUGGGAAUGUGAAACACCGAAAUUUGGUCCCGCUGCUGGGCUUUUGUGUGGCAAAGAGGGAGAGAUUUUUGGUGUAUAAAUUCAUGGAAAAUGGGACCCUUUAUGAUAAACUGCACCCAGUGGAACCUGAGAUCAGGAACAUGGAUUGGUCCCUGAGGCUCAAAAUUGCAAUUGGAGCGGCUAGAGGUUUGGCAUGGCUUCAUUAUGACUGCAAUCCACGAAUUAUCCACAGGAACAUAAGCUCCAAAUGCAUACUCUUGGAUAACGAUUUUGAGCCAAAGUUAUCUGAUUUUGGCCUUGCCAGACUCAUGAACCGAAUCGACACACAUUUGAGAGCUUUUGUCAAUGGGGAGUUUGGGGGGUUGGAUUAUGUUGCUCCUGAAUAUCUAAGGACCCUUGUUGCAACGCCCAAGGGGGAUGUUUAUAGCUUUGGUGUGGUUCUCCUGGAGUUGAUCACUGGUGAAAAGCCCACUCAUGUUGCUAAUGCCCCUGAAAGCUUCAAGGGAAGUUUAGUGGAGUGGAUCAGACAACUGACAGAUGGUCCGCUUCUUCAUACUUCCAUUGACAAGCCUUUGCUUGGAAAUGGAUUCGAUCACGAACUCAACCAGUUUCUUAAAGUUGCUUGUAACUGUGUGGUUGAGAAUGCCAAGGAGAGACCAACAAUGUUUGAGGUGCAUCAGCUCCUCAGAGCUAUUGGGGAGAGAUACCAUUUCACAACUGAAGAUGAUAUUAUGUUGCCAACUGAUACAGGUGACACUGAUUUCCCGGAUGAACUUAUUGUUGCCGAUGCAACAAAGGAAGUUUAAUGAAUAACAGAGGUUAAGAUUGAUAGAAAAGAGUCUGAGGCCAUCAAUCGGCACUCGUGAAAAUAUAUUCUACGUUAUAGCUGUGAUCAUAUAGGUAUAGUGUGAGUGUUUGUAACUAUAUUUGUAGCAUUUCAAGCACCUGCUUUGGUUGAAACACCAACUUUAUAUAUACCGUUGUCCAAUUAUCAUAAAAUCUUGCUCAUUUAUCCUCGUACAUAGACAAUUUCUUUGUUGGAUGUUGAGAGUCGAUAAAUAAACUUGCUUAAGUAGUCGAGGUGUUUGUCUGUAAGCCUUUCGGUUUUCUAGUAUUUUCUUUUUAUUUUUCCCUCCAAAGUGAUAUUGUAUCAUAAGCAAGUAUGCAACUUUAUUACUCAGUAAUUUCAAGCAUCCGAGUAUUGUUGCCUGGCCUGGACCCAAAAAGCAGAAUAAGGAGAUCCUUUGUCACCAUGAGGAAGAGUAAUAUUUUUUUUAGAAAUUCUCCAGUUCUUAUAUUUUAUUUUUCUUACAAAAAAAAUACUAAACUUAAAGUUUUUAGUCCAUGUUUUUUUUACAAUGAAUACAGUUACAAACUAGUCCCCAAUAAAAAAAAAUUUCAAUUUAGUGAAGUAGCAUGUCGUUUAACUAAAACUUAGUAGCAUGUCGUUUGACUGAAACUUUUAGUAUCCAAUAAAAAAUGGGAAUGCCAUUUCUGAAGAAUAGAAGGUUUAAGAAUAUGAGAACAAUUGUUUAGGCAAGACUCCUAAAUUUACUCUCGUAUUUGUGUUAAUUAUUCAUUUUUAUUCUUAUGUUUUUUAUUAUGUUUUGUAAAUUUUUUCAGUUAAUCCUAGUGAUUUCUAAUUUUUUCUAAUAAACCCAGUAAUUAACUUACAUUAAGUCUUGAUUUUACCAUGCAUGUCGAUGUAACUUUAUUUAUUUUUCACUCUUGUAUUUUUAAUUCGAUCAAUUAACUUUUGUGUUUUUUGAAGUAGUUUUUUUAAUCCUUGUGUUCUCUGAACGUGUUGGCUUUGACUCAAUACCUGGUUUUUAAAAGGGUGUUGUUUGUUUUUUUAGAUGUUUUUUAAAAGUAUUUUUUUUAAUAUAAAAUUAAUAUUUUUUAGUGUUUUUUUGAUAAUUUUAAUGUAUUUAUAUUAAAAAAUAAAAAAAAUUAUUUUAUUUUAUUUUUAAAUAAAAAACACUCUGCAUCAAAGUGUUGGAUACACUCUAAUAAGAAUAUAUUUGAUAUUGGAGUAACGAUUAUUUUUCAAAGUGUUUUUUAUUUGAAAAUAUAUCAAAAUCAUAUUUUUUAUAAAAAAAAUUAUUUUUAACAUCAACAUAUUAAAAUAAUUUAAAAAUACUAAAAAUUUAAUUUAAAAUUAAAAAAAUAAUGGUUUUCAAAAACAGUUUUAAAAUACAAAGUCUACGCUACGGCUUCAUGUUAACCAUGCAUGUUAAUAGUGUUGAAAUUAAAUACUUUUUAUCGCGAGAUGACUUUUAUAUUCAUAUGGGGUCUGAACCUUCAAUUAGCUAUGGAGCCAAUUGAACAUAAAAAAAAAAAAAAAAAAUAAACUGAUUCAAGGAAUAAAAAAUGAAAAAGAAAAUAAUUUUAUAUUACGAAACACACGCAUGAUAUUUCAUUGUCUCGAAGAAAAAAAUAAAGAGACAGACUGGCGGCUAUGAGAAAUCCAGAGUGAGAGGAAAGAGAGGAGAAACUGCAUUGCUUUGCACUUUGCAGAGUUGAUCAUCCCAGGAUUGGACACGCAACCAAUGGCAGUCAAUGCCAUGAUUGCCGCGAAGAAAUGACAGAGAGCCAAAAAAAUGUUAGAACGUAGAGGACCAGAUUAUAAUUAAUAAGUAUUCUUGUCGAAAAAAAUGUUAUUUGUAACCAUGUUUUAUAUUUACGGAAAGUAAUUUUUUUAGAGAGUGAUUUCUUUUAGAAAAUAGAUUUUUCAACAAAAAUUAUUUUCUGAUAUUUAUAGGAUCAUAAAAAAAUAAAUUGAAAAAUAUUUUUAGUAUUUAGUUAUGUAAUGAAAAAUAAGUUGGAAAAUAUCUUAUUAAUAAAUGUUUUUUAAAUUUAUUAAAAUAAUAAGAAAUAAAUCUUACAAAUAAAAAAUUUGAAUAAGAAUAAAAUUUUAAAAAAUAUAUCUAAUUUCAUAAAUUAUUUUACAUAAAAUAAAUAAUAAUUAAAAUAAUAAAGAUCAAGUUUAAUAGAUAAAAAAUAAUAAAAUAAUAAAAUUUAAAAAAAUACAAUGAAAAAAAGUUAAAGCCGUUGAUGAUUUAUCCCAUUAUAUUUAUCCAAUUAUUAAGAUUUUAUAAAUUAUUUUAAAUAAAAUAAAUAACAAUCAAAAAAAUAAAGAUCAAAUCCGAUAGAUAAAAAGUUUCAAUUAAAAAAUUAUAAGAGAAAAGCAAAUAAAAAUCAUAAAAAUAAAAAUAAGGACCAAAAUUGAUAUAAAAAUCAAAUUCUAAUGGAUGAAAUUGAAAAAAUAAAACAAAAUAUAUAUAAUAAUCAAAAGUUUGAGGACUAAAUUUGAUAUAGUCAGUAAAUAACAUGACAUUUCUAAAUUUUUAACAACUUCUGAAAAAUAUUUUUCCGUCUAAGUCUAAAAUAGAAGGAACAUAUUUUUUUCCGAAAACAAAGCUAAUUUUUUUUAAAAAAAAAAUAUUUUUUGUUUAUUAACUUUUUUAAUAAUAAAUACACACAUAAAAGUUUUAAAAAAUAAUUUAAAAAAACCACUUUCCAUGAAAGUAACCUUGACAGUGAAAUCAUCGUUAUUAAAUAACUGCCUUUAUUAUAAAAAAAAUAUCAUAUGACGUUGGUUGAUGGUAGCGCAUAAAUCAUAGGUUAAAAAUAUUCUCAUAAGCAGCUUCGCGAGACACCAUAGAAGAGAUUUAACUACUUGAACAAAUGUCCAUUUCGCAAAUUAAAUAAUUUUAUUUUCUCGGAUCUGUAAAUAAACGUCAUUUUAUGUUUAUUUUUUCAUUUUUUUUUUAUCACCACAUCCUUAAAAAUUAAAAAUUUAUGUGUCAUAACCAUCUAGGUGGUGGCUCAGUGGUAAGAGCUUGAGACCAAGAUGUUUACUCUCUCUGUGGUCUCAGGUUCGAGCCAUGUGGUUGCUCAUAUGAUGGCCACUGGAGGCUUACAUGGUCGUUAACUUCAGAACCCGUGGGAUUAGUCGAGGUGCGCGCAAGCUGACCCGGACACCCACGUUAAACUAAAAAAAAAAAAUUUUAUGUGUCAUGUUUUUACAUCAUGAAAUUUUUGUUAUGUAUAUCUUGAUUAGAGAUGAGAAAAAAACUGAAAAACCGAUUAAAUCUAGAUAACCGGAAAAAAAUAAUUGAAAAAAAACCAUUUAGAUCAUUUAAAAUUUUAUAAAAAUUUUGAAAACCGGAAAUUUUUAUUACGUAUAUCUUGAUCUCUUUUUUUUUUUUUUUAGAAAUUCUCUUCAGUUCCUGUAUUUUAUUUUUCCUGCAAAAACAAUUUCUUAACUUAAAGUUUUUAGUCCAUGUUUUUUUUACAAUGAAUACAGUUACAAACUAGUCCCCAAUAAUUUUAUUUUUUCAAUUUAGUUCUUAAAUAUCAAAUCAUAAACUUUGUCGAGAUUCUUCAAAUAGAUAUAAAUUAUUAUAGGAAACAAAAGUAAACAAAAUCACAAUAAUAUCAAUCACAGUCAUGAAAAGUAAUCACAUCCAUGACCAAUUGAACCAAUAAAAAAUUAUCAAGAAAUUCAAGUACCGUUACGAGACAAAUUCGUUCUUAUAAUAUCAUAUAUUUAUUAUACUAUUUUUCUGCUUUUAUUUUUCAUCUCAACUUCUUUGGACUAAAAGCAGGAAAUAAUUUUUUGCAGGAGGAAGGAAAUUCUUAGAGUAAAUAUCGAUAUUACAUUAAAUAAAAUCUAUUUUUUAAACGAGCACAUCUAUUUAAAUUUAUCUAACCCUUACUUUAUUCAUCAAUUCAUUUAAAUUAUUUGAUAAAUUCUGAAUGUUAGAUGUCGUCAUCUAGAUUGAUGAAAAUACAAGAAAUUCAAACCUAACCUAGUUUAUUAAAAAAAAAUCAUGUAAAAAAUAAAUUUUAACAUAACAAGACAUUUCUUUAAUAAAUAAGGUGGGAUUUGAGUUUUUUAAGUAAGUGUUUGCAUGAAAAUAUAUAUUAGAAGAAUAUAUUGGAGAGUAACUAAAUAAAUAUAAAUUAAAAAUAAUUAGACUUGUAAAGAUAGAUUUGAGAUGGAUCUAAAAUAUAAAAAUGAACUGAAAUAAUUUUUAUAAAAAAAGAAAAUCCUAUUUGUUUGGUUUAUAAAUAUGACACGAAAUCCAACCCAGUCCAUGUUAUCGGGAUGGGAAUUAGUCAAAUAUCCUUACUUCUUUUCCGAGGGACUGGAAACACAUGCUAGAUAUGAUAAUUUUUCUAGUGAGAGUAAUUCCUUUGCAUUUUAUAUUCUAUUUCUCACUACUUUGACAAGAAUCCUGUGGUUAAAACAUCACAAGUUCCUUUUUUUUAUUAUUAUUAUUAUUAGUGGUUAAAAAGCAAGGAUGAUACUAGUGAUCUAAAAAGGAGAAGUAGCCAAGAAAUAAUGGCAUGAGGUUGUCAAUGGUGCGAAUAUGAAAUGGACUAGCCCAAGACUUAUCCCUGUGCUCAGUUUGAACCCGGCGACAGAAAUUGUGGUGAGAUUAAUGAGUGAAUAUGAAUGAAUGGCUUAACUGAAGGGGAAAGACUCAUUCAACACAGCUUGCCUGAUCCGUAAGGAGUUCAGUGUUCACAACUUCCCAUUAGCACAAAGAAAUUGUUUUGAUGUGACUUUAUUAGAGGAGAGGUCAUGACUCAUGCCUGGCCAAGCCCAUCGUGCAAGCAACCAGAGAAAGUAGGGCUGUGUGUGUGUGUGUGUGUGUGUGUGUGUGUGUGUGUUAUUACAAGAUGGUUUGUUUUCAUGUCGAACAGUCAAUUCAUUACCACUACCCGACUCAUCAGUUUUCCACAGAUUAGAACAGUUCUGCGCGUCAUUGGUCCGAAUUUUCAAACCAAAGACUUUUCUCCAUUCACUUUUUUCACUUUGGACCCUUGUGUGUGCUUCGGGUUGUUGGAAAGCAAGAAGACUUGUACAUUAAAGUCUUCUUUGAAGGGGAAAAAAAAAUGAUGUUUCCUACCUCUUUCUCUUGUUAAAAUCAAAUCAACUCAACCCCAUCUCCACGUUUUCAGUGUUAUAAUAACUGUGUUCUUUCUCUUCAUUUUUUUCCUCAUUCUCCUUGCAGCAUUCUUCUUGCUUGGUGACUUCUUAUAUGCUCCACACUUCCAUUUCAUCAUCAUCAUCAUCUUCAUCUGGGUAUGUCUCAAAUCUUGUUUUCUUUCAGUGAAUCUCUGAGAUAAGUGAAUUGGGAUUUUAGUGGAUUGUUUAAGAUUCGAGGUUGUUUGUUUGUUGACUUCUCUUUUGCUUUUUCCAAAUUACAUAUUGUUCUGGUGGAUCACUAGUAAAAUUGGAUUGUGUUUUUGGUGGAGUAGUUAGACCUUCUUUCUUGGAUAUAUAGAGAUGGGUUUGAGUGUUUUAUUUAGUAGUACAACUUAGCGAGAACCCUUCACUUUGUAGAUUCCGUUUUGGGCCAGGGACAGAAAGUUUGAGGAUUUUUUUCCCCUUGCUAAUGGCAUUGAGCGAGAAA